UUUUAUGAGAGUUUGAUCCUGGCUCAGGACGAACGCUGGCGGCGUGCCUAAUACAUGCAAGUCGAACGCUUCUUUUUCCACCGGAGCUUGCUCCACCGGAAAAAGAGGAGUGGCGAACGGGUGAGUAACACGUGGGUAACCUGCCCAUCAGAAGGGGAUAACACUUGGAAACAGGUGCUAAUACCGUAUAACAAUCGAAACCGCAUGGUUUUGAUUUGAAAGGCGCUUUCGGGUGUCGCUGAUGGAUGGACCCGCGGUGCAUUAGCUAGUUGGUGAGGUAACGGCUCACCAAGGCCACGAUGCAUAGCCGACCUGAGAGGGUGAUCGGCCACAUUGGGACUGAGACACGGCCCAAACUCCUACGGGAGGCAGCAGUAGGGAAUCUUCGGCAAUGGACGAAAGUCUGACCGAGCAACGCCGCGUGAGUGAAGAAGGUUUUCGGAUCGUAAAACUCUGUUGUUAGAGAAGAACAAGGAUGAGAGUAACUGUUCAUCCCUUGACGGUAUCUAACCAGAAAGCCACGGCUAACUACGUGCCAGCAGCCGCGGUAAUACGUAGGUGGCAAGCGUUGUCCGGAUUUAUUGGGCGUAAAGCGAGCGCAGGCGGUUUCUUAAGUCUGAUGUGAAAGCCCCCGGCUCAACCGGGGAGGGUCAUUGGAAACUGGGAGACUUGAGUGCAGAAGAGGAGAGUGGAAUUCCAUGUGUAGCGGUGAAAUGCGUAGAUAUAUGGAGGAACACCAGUGGCGAAGGCGGCUCUCUGGUCUGUAACUGACGCUGAGGCUCGAAAGCGUGGGGAGCAAACAGGAUUAGAUACCCUGGUAGUCCACGCCGUAAACGAUGAGUGCUAAGUGUUGGAGGGUUUCCGCCCUUCAGUGCUGCAGCUAACGCAUUAAGCACUCCGCCUGGGGAGUACGACCGCAAGGUUGAAACUCAAAGGAAUUGACGGGGGCCCGCACAAGCGGUGGAGCAUGUGGUUUAAUUCGAAGCAACGCGAAGAACCUUACCAGGUCUUGACAUCCUUUGACCACUCUAGAGAUAGAGCUUCCCCUUCGGGGGCAAAGUGACAGGUGGUGCAUGGUUGUCGUCAGCUCGUGUCGUGAGAUGUUGGGUUAAGUCCCGCAACGAGCGCAACCCUUAUUGUUAGUUGCCAUCAUUCAGUUGGGCACUCUAGCAAGACUGCCGGUGACAAACCGGAGGAAGGUGGGGAUGACGUCAAAUCAUCAUGCCCCUUAUGACCUGGGCUACACACGUGCUACAAUGGGAAGUACAACGAGUCGCGAAGUCGCGAGGCUAAGCUAAUCUCUUAAAGCUUCUCUCAGUUCGGAUUGCAGGCUGCAACUCGCCUGCAUGAAGCCGGAAUCGCUAGUAAUCGCGGAUCAGCACGCCGCGGUGAAUACGUUCCCGGGCCUUGUACACACCGCCCGUCACACCACGAGAGUUUGUAACACCCGAAGUCGGUGAGGUAACCUUUUUGGAGCCAGCCGCCUAAGGUGGGAUAGAUGAUUGGGGUGAAGUCGUAACAAGGUAGCCGUAUCGGAAGGUGCGGCUGGAUCACCUCCUUU
rnacentral:rRNA from 1 species